GCACCUAUUCCGUCGUGCCGUUCAGCCGUUCCCCUUCCGCGCCGACUCCGACAGGUUGCCGCCGCACUCUCGCGCCUCCCCUCUCGUCGCUAGCGCCGUUCCUCGCUCAGAACUCUCUCAUUGCCUGCUGUUCUCGAUUUGACCAACAACAGUGAGGUGACAGAAACCCCAACCUUCAUGGCUCUACCGGCAGCAAGACGAGACGGAUGGCACUGAAGCCAGCGAUGGAAUUCAGUCUGAUUGAAGGCAGGCGUCACUUGCACCAUACGGUUGUGGUACUAUAUCCAAAGAACUGCAGGCAUCAUCUGCGCCAAACAAUGUGGUACUAUGUGUUGUAUAUGUACACUAAUGUGACAGGUACUGUCACCAAAUAUCAUUAGAUUUUUAU